GCAGCCUUAGUAUAGUGGUGAGUAUCCCCGCCUGUCACGCGGGAGACCGGGGUUCAAUUCCCCGACGGGGAGGCUGCA